rnacentral:rRNA from 1 species
GACGAACGCUGGCGGCGUGCCUAAUACAUGCAAGUCGAACGCAGUGGGGGCGGGGGAGUAAAAAGUGGGUAACCUCCCAUCAGAGGGGAUAACACUUGGAAACAGGUGCUAAACCGAUACUGAUGGAUGGACCCGCGGUGCAAUAGCUAGUUGGUGGGGUAACGGCUCACCAAGGCCACGAUGCAUAGCCGGUCUGUGAGGAUGACCGGCCACACUGGUACUGAGACACGGCCCAGACUCCUACGGGCGGCAGCAGUAGGGAAUCUUCGGCAAUGGACGAAAGUCGGACCGAGCAACGCCGCGUGUGUGAAGAAGGUUUUCGGAUCGUAAAACUCUUUUGUUAGGGAAGCGUUAUCUAACCAGAAAGCCACGGCUAACUACGUGCCAGCAGCCGCGGUAAUUC